GAUGAACGCCGGCGGUGUGCCUAAUACAUGCAAGUCGUACGCACUGGCCCAACUGAUUGAUGGUGCUUGCACCUGAUUGACGAUGGAUCACCAGUGAGUGGCGGACGGGUGAGUAACACGUAGGUAACCUGCCCCGGAGCGGGGAUAACAUUUGGAAACAGAUGCUAAUACCGCAUAACAACAAAAGCCACAUGGCUUUUGUUUGAAAGAUGGCUUUGGCUAUCACUCUGGGAUGGACCUGCGGUGCAUUAGCUAGUUGGUAAGGUAACGGCUUACCAAAGCGAUGAUGCAUAGCAGAGUUGAGAGACUGAUCGGCCACAAUGGAACUGAGACACGGUCCGUACUCCUACGGGAGGCAGCAGUAGGGAAUCUUCCACAAUGGGCGCAAGCCUGAUGGAGCAACACCGCGUGAGUGAAGAAGGGUUUCGGCUCGUAAAGCUCUGUUGUUGGAGAAGAACGUGCGUGAGAGUAACUGUUCACGCAGUGACGGUAUCCAACCAGAAAGUCACGGCUAACUACGUGCCAGCCGCCGCCGUAAGAC
rnacentral:rRNA from 1 species